rnacentral:rRNA from 1 species
AGGAGGUCCAGCCUGCCCGGUGACUUUUGUUUAACGGCCGCGGUAUCCUAACCGUGCGAAGGUAGCGCAAUCACUUGUCUUUUAAUUAAAGACUAGUAUGAAAGGCAUCACGAGGGUCAAACUGUCUCCUUUUUCUAAUCAGUGAAACUAAUCUUCCCGUGAAAAAGCGAGAAUAAAUAUACAAGACGAGAAGACCCUUUGGAGCUUUAAACUUAACAGCAUUUAAUUCACUAAGCCAAAUAAUUAUUUUAUAUUUUGUUGUAAGUUUUUGGUUGGGGCGACCGCGGAGAAAAACUAAUCCUCCGCAAUGAAUAAGAACUUAUUCUUAAAUAAUAAGCCACAGCUUUAUGUAUCAAUACACUUGACAUCCAUUGACCCAAUACUUUGAUCAACGAACCAAGUUACCCUAGGGAUAACAGCGCCAUCUACUUUGAGAGCUCCUAUCGACAAGUAGGCUUACGACCUCGAUGUUGGAUCGGGGUAUCCCAGUGGUGUAGACGCUACUAAUGGUUCGUUUGUUCAACGAUUAAAACCCCACGUGAU